UACAAGUCUCUCUGUGUAUUAAUUUGGGCCCUAACUCGGGUGGGCAGCUGGUGUAAAGCACACAUGUGGCGGUGGGGCUCGGUGGCUUAUGGCGGAAAGAUUUAUCGUAACAAGCCUGUGGUAGGGCAUGGCCCUAGGAACAAAGAACCCCAUGAACACAGUCCUCUGGGAUGACAUGAAUUAAGCCUGUGUCUGUAACUACCCUAGCCCACUGGAUGUCACAUCCUGAAUCCUAUGUACUGGGACCUCCUGAUGUUCAUUUUUAUUAGACUUGCUACCCUGCCCCAGGGCCAGAAAGGCAGGGUGUGAAGAGGGAAAGAGCUCCCUCAGUAGUCCUGGAGGGAUAGACUAGCUUUUAAGAAGGUCCCAGGAGUAUGUGCCACAGGUAUGGGCCUACCUAAAACCUGUGAUGACAUUUCUCCUGUCUUCAGAACAUGGAUUGUUUAUCCUGUCUUCCUAUUGCUACAAGGAUGCCAAGAAUUCAUAAUCAAUAUUUCUAUGGAGGAGACACUACAUGAGGUUAGCAUUGUAAACUCCCAAGCAGAUUCAGAUGAUGCACCAAAGUGAGCACAAAGCCUGUGAGCAGUGAUGCUCAAAGUGUGGCUCCCUGGCUUCAGCACUUAUAUCACCUGGAAACUCUGAGACCCACAAAUCCUAAGCCCUGCUACCAAUCACUGCCUCACAGGAUCUGGAUACACACACACACACACACACACACACACACACACACACACUAUAAGGGAGUCCCUGAAAGACAUUACAGAACAUACUCAGACACUACAGCACAAAGGAGAUUUAUUACCUCAGGAGGGUAAGAAUGAGAUUAGGGAAAGCUGACAUCUGCACCACACAAGAAUAGAUAUCAAACAGGUUUUCUUUUUUAAAGAGAAGAGGUGGAAGUCUGUGCUAGGGUAAGUUGGUGAAAUCUAAUUCAACAGGUUAGUUAGUGUAACCAACUACUGAAUUUUGAUUGCUGGACUGUGGUGCAUAGUCUCAGUAGCCAAAUACAAGAAUGGACCUUGGAAACUAAAUUUAGGAAUGCAAUCUAUUGGUAUAUCAGGGGAGAGGGAAGUGAAAAGAGCAAAACCUGCUGCUGCCAUAUUUGCAGUAUUGGGACCGGUUAGAGAGACCUUCACACACAAACACAAAACCCAUACAGAAUUAUUAUGUCAAAGAAAUGCAGAUUGGUGGCCUUGUCAUUGAGUGCAAGGAACAAGAUCAGAGAGGACCUGGGAUGAGCUCCAGGCAUUCCAGUCACACACCCAGAUGGACCAAGUAGGGCAAGCCCUUCAACCUGCUCCCAGAACAACCAGCAAAAAAAAUCACCUGGUCAAAUUCAAAGACUCACCAUAAACCCAUAGCACCCAGCACCUCCCACAAGCCAAACCUAUCAAGCCUUCUUGAAAUGCAUGUUGUAAGCUCAUACACAACUGCCCCUAACAGUUGAAUGUGACUCAAGCCACAGGCUCUGCUUUUCUUUUGGAGGAAGCAGAACAGCCUGUAUCCCCAUCUCACUCCUGCCCAGGCUUUAGUUCUGCCUCAGAUGUACUCAGGAAAAUUUGUUUGGGCAGAAGGAGGUGGAGCCUGCAAUGACCUGAGGAAUGCUGCGCUUGCCAUAGGAGGGUCAAGACAGUCACAGAGAAUGGGAAAUGAUGAAUACCUGUUGUUCAAAUCAUUGCUGGUAUAAUGGGUCAGGAGUACAUGUAGUUCAUUCCUCUCCUUGUCAUCAUCUUUAGAUGAAGGGUCAAUUUUCCCACCUUGUUCAGCACAUGCUCCUGCUCAGUGACGAAGGAGGGUGUCUAUGGGGCCUUCCCAGAAGUCCUGUAGGUAUACAAACACAUGUGAAUUUCUACAGCUAAAUGGCAUAGGGCUAACAAAAAUCAUGUGGAUUCCCAAGAAGCAGCCUGAGAAAGAGGAAAUACAUGGAAGCCAGGGAAGCCCUCAAAGAUCAGAGCAGCUAUUCUUAAGUUGGAGUCCAUAAGCCAUGUCUCUGUCUCCAAUCACCAGGACUAGAUAUGUGUCUCAUCCUGUAUUCUAGCCCCACUGGCCCUGGAAGAUGUAAUGAAGAGGGAUGUCCUUCUGUAUGCUGAUUUGACUAUCUAUCUCAGUGGAGCUGCUUCUGGGUGAGACUUGAAGGCAAAUUUAUUGGACCUUGAGAGUGGCAUGAUCAGCUGAAACUUCCAUACACUCUUAAUGACAGAGGAACACCCACUGGCAUCUGCCUUCUUUAAGGGAGAUGGCAAGAACUAGGAAACUUUUGUACUGGUUGCCAUCACAAUUCUUUGCAUUGACAGCAGAAAUACUCCACAAUGCACACAAGUGAGCAGAAAGCCUUCUCAAGCCGUCAGCUCAGAAGCUGUCUCAUCCCUAGAAUCAGCUGUGGUAUCACUGAGGCUUGAAGCUGAAAUUCAAGAAAAGUCACUUACCCUCUGCAAUCCUUUACUCUGUCUUCAUCUUACCAGGACUCAGGGGUGAAACAAAUUCCAACCACCUCUCCAGUUGAAGAAGCAUGGGAGUAGACAGAAUGGAAAUUUCUUGCACUGUUGGCAAGUCUUUGAAUAGACUGCAGAGCCCCUUGUUUUUUUUUAUCCCUCCAGCUGCUAAAGCAGUGCUUACACCUCAGAAUUGUGAUCAUGUUUGUUUCCAACCGCACUGUUUUCCAAGCAUAAGAAUUUGUCUCUUUUUAAACACGUGUUACUGUGUGUGGGCACACACUGCCAUGUACAAUGUGGAGGUCAGGCCCAGGUCCAUCUCUGUCUUCCACCUUGUUUGCACAUGGUUCCUUUGUUAUUUGCUGGUGUACAUAGCAGGCUAGCUUCUGAGGAUCCUCCUGUCUUUACCUGUCACCUUCCCUUAGGAGCACUGGCAUUACAGUGGCCAAACCUGACUUUUUAUGUGACUUCUGAGAAUGCAAAUCUGGGUCCUCAUGCUGGCACAGCAAACACUCUGGGUCCUCAUGCUGGCACAGCAAACACUCUACAUACUGAGUAUCUUCCCAUACCAUAAUUCAUCUUUAAUCAUGUGGAUCUUAAACAUCAUUUCAAGUGGAAAUAUUGAAAAUAAAGCUUUCCAAUCACCUUUAAAAUAAUAUUAAAAUAAUAUGAGCAAGGGGAUCCAGAUCAUGAUGGGGAAAACCACAGAGAUAGAAGACCUCAGCUACUGGAAACUUGUUGACUGUGGGCUGACGGUUGGGGAAACUUCAUGGGACCUAUCUACACCCUCUGACUGUAGGUGACAGGUAUAUGACUUUAUCUGUUUCUGUGGGGGAGCACUGGCAGUGGCACCAGGGCAUGAACUGGCUUUUUGGAACCCAUUCCUUAUAGUGGGAUACCUUGCUCAGCCUUGACACAGGGGAAGGGGCUUGGUCCUGCCUCAACUUGGUAUGCCAGAUUUUGUUGACUUCCCAAGGAAGGCCUUACCCCCUCUGAGGAGUGGAUACAGAGUGGAAAGGGAGAUGCAGGGGGUGGGAGAAGGGAAGGGAGGGAAACUGCUGUUGGUAUGUAAAUGAAAAAUAAAUUUCUUUAAGUAAACAAAAAAAAAAAAAACUCUAGCAGAACACAAUCAAUCCUUGCUAGCAAGCAGAGCCAAGUUAUAGUCCAGUAAAUCCUGAACUGUUCUUAGUUAGGACCCAAGCGCCAGCCACGGCUCUGUCAAUUACAAUCUGAUACUUGCAAACUAGAAACUUGACAGGAGAGGGCUUAUUUCUAGGCUAGCUUGUUAUUAUAAGAACUUGCUCACUUUUUUUAGGCAUGCUAAGAAUAGUGUAUCUGGGUUCUUUUCAAAUAUAAAUAUCAUUUUCAAAUGUUCCUACUACCA